AUGCGUGGCGUGUGCCCGCGGCAGGUGCGCCGCGCGCGAACCGGUCGCCACUCGCUUCACUCGCAAAUCGUAAUAGGGUUGUCACUACUCGAGAUACUGCAUUUAUUUUAAAAUCGGAGUAGGGUUGCCAGUACUCAAGACAAUGGAUUUAUUUUACAUCGAAAUUAAAGUAACGCCCGAGGGCCGAGGCAUGUAAGUGCGCGUCUAACAUUAGUGCCGUCCCACAAGGCAAGAGGCGGCGCGGCGCGGUGCGGCGGCGGCGCGGGCGCAGCGGAGAGCCGGCGGGCGGCGCGCGACCGCGACGACCUCGCCGCUAUAGCUGCCUGAUCGUCUCCGUACACAAGCUGGACAAUUUGGAAUUAGAUACGGAUGUUGAUUAACUUGUAAUUAAUUUGUAGACUUAACAUCGAAUUUCGCGGUUGAAGCACGCAGUGGCACUCAUCAACUGCGAUGUACCCACGUCCCACUUACCUCGAUGAGUGUUGUAUUCAGUAUUUCCAAGUUCUGCUAAUGAUAAGUUCUGGGCUAUACGAGUAUGUUGCUAGUAGUUCGUAGCAUUUAUUAUUAGACCUGUAGCUCUUUGAUUUCGUUACUCUGUUUAAAAAAGAAAACAAUAAUAUUAGUACAGGCAGAAUAAAUAAAUAACGAUCUUAGGUUUCUUCUAAGAGAUAGUAAUGUUUAGGCAAGUAGGGCUUUGGUAAAAUUAUUGUUAUCACAUGGUAUUGGUUUGCGAUGUUUGCAAUAUUGGCCAAAUGUCCAAUAUUUUUCAGUUUCGUCCGAAAGUUGUUAACCAGUUUUACCUCUUUAAAUUUUCGGAGACAGACGGUUAAAGCACGAUUUCACCUCUUAAACCCAAGUCGAAAUCCAAUAUCUCCAGUGGUGGUAAGUGACGCGGUCGCGCGCUGGGCGCGGGCGGCGCGUGCCUGGGAACCGGCGGCGCGCGCGCGUUCUCACGGCCCCGCUGACCUGCACCACCACUCCUCCACACCCGUACCCCCUCCGCCACCACACCGCUCACGGCCCCUCCCAACACGGUUCACCACCAGCCUUACCACCACGCAGGGCUGUCGAAUUAGAAAGUGUAAGAGGUUGAGUGAUUAUACGAUAAGGAUAUAAACGCGUGAAUCUUCGUGGUGCUGAAGAAAUAUAUCUCAAAAAUAAACAUAGUAUCAUUUGUGACAAAUUGGUAGAUUACUCUGUAUAUUAGAAGUUUGGACAUGGUUUACUCUCUAAGACACAUCUCGGAGAAUUUUGGUGAUCUGCCAACCCUAUGAAAUCGUGCCGUACCAAAACUGCAUCUCAUUGUACCUCGUUCGUGAGUGUUUGUGAAAUCGCUUCCUAACGUCGAUUACACAGUCGGUGCUAUAUUUUGAUUGAUGUCGGAUAAUUUUUUGAGUAAGUUUGUAACUGUUCGUUCACUCCAUUAAUAUAUGUGUGCCUGUUCAAGUAUUACGUACGCGCUAAACGGAGGAGGGGGGGGGGGGGGCUCUAUGGUUUGCUUGUUUUCGAUGACAGAGAUUACGUCAGUAAUAUUUAUUUUUUUGAUAAAUUAAAAAAAUGAAAUUAAAUAUAUUUUGUAAACAGUACACCUAUGCAUACGUAAGCACGGGAGAUAACUAUGCUUAGGUAACAAGGGACCAACGCUAAGAACUGCUUACUUUUACUGACAAGAGGGACGGAGGGUUAAAAAAUACUGAAGUUCUGCUUACUUGAUACUUGAACGACCUCUCAAAUGGAUAGUAAAGCAAAGUAAUUAAUUUAUAUGGGUCAUAGAGGAGUAGUGUUAUUGUAAUUAUAGGCAUUCUUGCUCACAAAAUAUGAUUGAAAUUUGUACGAAGAAAUUAUAUUAUGUUAAUCAUGUUGAAAAGUCCUUUCUAAGUGCUCACAUUAAACGAAGUAGUCGUAUGCUUUCUUGCUUCUAAAAUCACCAGUUUAAACAUUGUUUUAUCAGUUACCACUUAAUUAAGGUUUCUAUAUGUUAAUUACAAGUUAUACGGAGAUGUUUAUGUACUGUUAUAUCAUAAAGAAGUAAUUAUAAGUUAAGUAUCUCGCUUGUGUUAGCACCAGAUAGAAGGUCAGGGGCCGUAACAAAGAAGCCUUUCCACAAUCUUUAACGCUAAGAGAAAACUAAAAACGUAUGGGAAUAGCAUGUCCAAGCGAUAGACUUGUCGAUCGUUAUCGACUAUAGAAAGGCAUCUUGGCUACAGCCCCUGAUAGUCUAGUAAGUAUUAAAACAGAUUGACAGGCCUCAUGGCUCAGCAUCAUUAAUCAAUACUCAUUUUUCAAUCAUUUUUAAACACCUUGUCAGACUCGGUUAUGGUCUUAGGUUCGACUUUCAGAUUCUCGAUAAGUAUAAUUUAUCAAGUUUCAUAUCUAAUAAUUGUUAUGUAUAGAUGGAAAUAAACUCGAUUCGUAUCUACA